UUGAUAGUACCUUACUACUUGGAUAACCGUGGUAAUUCUAGAGCUAAUACAUGCUAAAAACCCCAACUUCGGGAGGGGUGUAUUUAUUAGAUAAAAAACCAACGCCCUUCGGGGCUUCUUGGUGAUUCAUAAUAACUUUACGGAUCGCAUGGCCUUGCGCCGGGCGACGGUUCAUUCAAAUUUCUGCCCUAUCAACUUUCGAUGGUAAGGUAUUGGCUUACCAUGGUUUCAACGGGUAACGGGGAAUUAGGGUUCGAUUCCGGAGAGGGAGCCUGAGAAACGGCUACCACAUCCAAGGAAGGCAGCAGGCGCGCAAAUUACCCAAUCCCGACACGGGGAGGUAGUGACAAUAAAUACUGAUACAGGGCUCUUUUGGGUCUUGUAAUUGGAAUGAGUACAAUUUAAACCUCUUAACGAGGAACAAUUGGAGGGCAAGUCUGGUGCCAGCAGCCGCGGUAAUUCCAGCUCCAAUAGCGUAUAUUAAAGUUGUUGCAGUUAAAAAGCUCGUAGUUGAAACUUGGGUCUGGCUGGCAGGUCCGCCUCACCGCGUGUACUUGUCCGGCCGGGCCUUCCUUCUGGAGAACCUCAUGCCCUUCACUGGGCGUGUUGGGGACCAGGACUUUUACUUUGAAAAAAUUAGAGUGUUCAAAGCAGGCCUUUGCUCGAAUACGUUAGCAUGGAAUAAUAGAAUAGGACGUGCGGUCCUAUUUUGUUGGUUUCUAGGACCGCCGUAAUGAUUAAUAGGGACAGUCGGGGGCAUCAGUAUUCAAUUGUCAGAGGUGAAAUUCUUGGAUUUAUUGAAGACUAACUACUGCGAAAGCAUUUGCCAAGGAUGUUUUCAUUAAUCAGUGAACGAAAGUUAGGGGAUCGAAGACGAUCAGAUACCGUCGUAGUCUUAACCGUAAACUAUGCCGACUAGGGAUCGGGCGAUGUUCUUUUUCUGACUCGCUCGGCACCUUACGAGAAAUCAAA
rnacentral:rRNA from 1 species